rnacentral:rRNA from 1 species
AACGCUGGCGGCGUGCCUAACACAUGCAAGUCGAACGAGAAAGUGGAGCCAAUCCAUGAGUAAAGUGGCGCACGGGUGAGUAACACGUGACUAACCUACCCUGGAGUGGGGGAUAACUGAGGGAACCCUUAGCUAAUACCGCAUAAUACCCACGGGUCAAAGGAGCAAUUCGCUUCAGGAGGGGGUCGCGGCCGAUUAGUUAGUUGGCGGGGUAAUGGCCCACCAAGACUGUGAUCGGUAUCCGGCCUGAGAGGGCGCACGGACACACUGGAACUGAAACACGGUCCAGACUCCUACGGGAGGCAGCAGUGGGGAAUUUUGCGCAAUGGGGGAAACCCUGACGCAGCAACGCCGCGUGGAGGAUGAAGUACUUCGGUACGUAAACUCCUUUCGAUCGGGACGAUUAUGACGGUACCGGAAGAAGAAGCCCCGGCUAACUUCGUGCCAGCAGCCGCGGUAAUACGAGGGGGGCAAGCGUUGUUCGGAAUUAUUGGGCGUAAAGGGUGCGUAGGCGGUUUGGUAAGUCUUAUGUGAAAUCUAUGGGCUCAACUCAUAGACUGCAUGAGAAACUGCCGGGCUUGAGUGUGGGAGAGGUGAGUGGAAUUUCCGGUGUAGCGGUGAAAUGCGUAGAUAUCGGAAGGAACACCUGUGGCGAAAGCGGCUCACUGGACCACAACUGACGCUGAUGCACGAAAGCUAGGGGAGCAAACAG